UCGGACGUGGUGUAUGGUACACGGCCUCUCUCUUGUAAACCCUUCAAAGAUGUGACCUGAGGCAGCUCGGGGUUCGACUCCCCGUGUCCGAA